GAUGAACGCUGGCGGCGUGCCUAAUACAUGCAAGUCGAGCGAACGGACGAGAAGCUUGCUUCUCUGAUGUUAGCGGCGGACGGGUGAGUAACACGUGGAUAACUUACCUAUAAGACUGGGAUAACUUCGGGAAACCGGAGCUAAUACCGGAUAAUAUUUUGAACCGCAUGGUUCAAAAGUGAAAGACGGUCUUGCUGUCACUUAUAGAUGGAUCCGCGCUGCAUUAGCUAGUUGGUAAGGUAACGGCUUACCAAGGCAACGAUGCAUAGCCGACCUGAGAGGGUGAUCGGCCACACUGGAACUGAGAAACGGUCCAGACUCCUACGGGAGGCAGCAGUAGGGAAUCUUCCGCAAUGGGCGAAAGCCUGACGGAGCAACGCCGCGUGAGUGAUGAAGGUCUUCGGAUCGUAAAACUCUGUUAUUAGGGAAGAACAUAUGUGUAAGUAACUGUGCACAUCUUGACGGUACCUAAUCAGAAAGCCACGGCUAACUACGUG
rnacentral:rRNA from 1 species